UACAGAGACUGCAAGCGUUAUUCGGAUUCACUGGGCGUAAAGGGUGCGCAGGCGGCCGUGUGUGUGAGGCGUGAAAGCCCGGGGCUUAACCCCGGAAUUGCACCUCAAACUACAUGGCUAGAGCAUUGGAGAGGGUAGCAGAAUUCAUGGUGUAGCAGUGAAAUGCGUAGAUAUCAUGAGGAAUACCAGAGGCGAAGGCGGCUACCUGGACAAUUGCUGACGCUCAGGCACGAAAGCGUGGGGAGCAAAAGGG
rnacentral:rRNA from 2 species